UUUAGUUCAAUUCAGAACUGCAGAUAGUACGGUUUCCACAGGAGCAGGGAUGCCUGAGCACAAGUAGCUGAGUUCCGAGGGACUUUAGGAAAUGCUUCCCUGGCUUCCUGGGCGUGCAAACAGGAGUCUGCACCUGCACUCCAGUCAGGCUGGGGAGAAGCCCCUGCUCUGCCUGCAGGGACGAGGAACUACAGCAAGAAGCAGCAGUGGGGAAUUGCUCUGGACACAAGAACUAAUCCAUGAAGGAGACUGAAAGCAGCUCCAUCUACGUGUUCAAAGGCAAUCCAGUAGGAACCGGGCAAUGUGCAUGUCUCUGAGUAACAUAGAGGUUGGUUCACUGUACCCUACAAUUAGGAUGUGAUUAAGUUUUGAGUACUCAGGAGGAGGCCCAGAAGAAAGGAAGAGAGAAGAGCUCUGACACAAAUGCUUCUGAGGAACAUUGUUAUCUAUGUAUGUUAAACUGCAAUUCCAGCUGUGAAUUCAUCAUCUGCAUCACUCAUGUGGUAACAUAAGGAUUUUAAGGGCCAUCGAAUGUGGACCAAUGCUUUAUUUAAAACUAUUCAAAGUGCCCAGCUAUGUUGACAUAAAAUACUUGCCCUCAUUUGGAUACUAAACACUUUUCUCAUGUGUUUUCAUUAAAUAUAGUAAUACGUGUUCAAAACAGAGUUUUGAUAACAAGAAAGAAAAGAAGGAGAUUUGAAUGAUUCUAUGUGAAACUGAGCUCACAGAAAGAGUCCUAAAUGUACUGUGUCAUCAGUUUGGAAUUUCUGUAACUACGGAACAGUGUUCUUGGGAAUGCUCAUAAAAUAUUGAACAAUGACGAAAGUUUGAAGAGAUUUUGUAGGACCAUCAGGAGUGUGAGUUGAAAACUUGGUCCUUUUUAAGCAGUGAGGAUGUGGCAGAGAAACAACAAACUUGAUACAUCUUUCUUUUGUGUAUGCAUGAAUAUGUUUUUAUGCUGGUGGUGAUUUUGAUUGGAAAGAAAAACAUAAAAAAUAUGAUAGUCACACAGAAACUAAGAAGAUAGGUGAUCAAAAGAAAAUGUUCUGUGAAGUAUAGCAUCUUAGGCUUGAAACAGCAGAGAAAAUACAUUCCAUGGGCUUAGUUCUUUUCCAAGUUGUUAGCAUUCUAAGAAUAAAAAUGCUACAUGGAUAAUCUACAUCUAUAAACUGAUAAAGAGUAACAUGCUGCCUAAGUUUAUAAUUGUCCAUUGAGCGAGACUGUAUGUGUAUUUGCACAUACAUGUGUAUACACAUGUGUACAUGUUGUGGACUCCCCAUUGUGCACCUGUUUGACAAGACUGAUUUUCUCCUUGUUUGUUUGAGUUUUUGUCAAUUUUUCUAAGGUGUCUGUGGUUUUCUGCUUUAUGACCUCUUCCAGGUGAUGUGGAGGCCUAAAAAUUUGAACAUACCAUGUUUAUAUGUCCUUAUGUGUUUGCAGUUUGAGAUUUUAAGUCAUCUGGAUCCAUGUUUAGUGAGAUGGCAGUCUUUCCUUCAUACAUGUACUCUAAGGCUAGCUAGACAUGGGCUCAAAUCCACUCAGGAGUUAAUUGUAACAUUGCCAAAUUUACAGCCAUAUAUCAGUAGUAUCAAGAUUAAGACAUAAGAGGCAGAAUCCUUUAGAGUGCUGGUUGUAGUAACUAUGUCAUACGGCGGCAUUAUGCUGAUCUCUCAUGCUUUCCUUCAGGACUUCCUAUAAUGGUUAGGAUUUGCAAUAAUAUGUCACUUUAAAAAAUAAUAGUGGAGUCUUUCCCUAGAGGUAAAUA